rnacentral:sRNA from 1 species
GCUGGGCGUGGUGGCACACAACUGUAAUCCCAGCAGCUCAGGAGGCUGAGGCAGGAGGAUUGCGAGUUCAAAGCCAGCCUCAGCAACUGUGAGGUGCUAAGCAACUCAGUGAGACCCUGUCUCUA